CGGUACUAGUUUACUGGUUCACUGGAGCUAUGUUACCUUGCACUGUCUAUCCUAGAUUGCUAAAUAAUUAGCUACAAUGGCUGCUUCCGAUGAUUCAUCUUUCCAAGAAGAGCUGGAUGAUGAAACAUUUUUUUAAUGCAAUUUUAUAUAGGAACAUACAGCCCUAUUUAUUUGAGCCAGAAUACACUGAAGGGUGUUGAGAAUUGCGAGACAAUCAAGCAGUGGCUGCAGCCUACAUCAGCUGGACAAGCACUCAGGAGGGCAAAUGACAAAUGAAUAAUACCACUUGGAUAUAAAGAAGUUGAUCCAGGCCUCGUAUAUCUCACUGGUCACCCCCAAAGCCAAUUCCUCCUUUGGUCGUCUUUCCUUCCAGUUCAAUGCUGCCCAUGACUGGAACGAAUUGCAAAAAUCGCUGAAGCUGGAGACUCACAUCUCCCUCACUAGCUUUGAGCACCAGCUGUCAGAGCAUUUUACAGAUCACUGCACCUGUACUUAGCCUAUCUUUAAACAGCCCAUCUAUCUACCUACCUCAUCCCCAUACUGGUAUUUAUUUAUUUAUUUUGCUCCUUUGCACCCCAGUAUCUCUACCUGCACAUUCAUCUUCUGCACAUCUACCAUUCCAGUGUUUAAUUGCUGUAUUGUAAUUACUUUGCCAUCAUGGCCUAUUUAUUUCCUUAACUUACCUCAUUUGCACUCACUGUAUAUAGACUUUUUGUUUUCUUUUGUUCUGUAUUAUUGACUGUAUGUUUUGUUUAUUCCAUGUGUAACUCUGUGUAGUUGUAUGUGUCAAAUUGCUACGCUUUAUCUUGGCCAGGUCGCAGUUGCAAAUGAGAACUUGUUCUCAACUAGCCUACCUGGUUAAAUAAAGGUUAAAUAAAUUAAAUAAAUUAAAUCAGAAUGAGCUUUUCCCCACUAAAGGGCUUUAUUACAGACAGAAAUACUUCUUAGCAUCAACUUCUUUGUAUCUGUCACGGGAUUCUUCUGUUGAAGGAGAGGCAGUCCAAAACACAGUGUGGUUAUUGUGAUACAUCUUUAAUGAAGAUGAUAAAUGAACAAUAUACAAAACAAGAAAUGUGACAAACCGAAAACAGCCCUAUCUGAUGUAACAAACACAAAGACAGGAACUAUCACCCACAAAACCCAACACAAAACAGGCUACCUAAAUAUGGCUCCCAAUCAGAGACAAUCACUAACACCUGCCUCUGAUUGAGAACCAUAUCAGGCCCAAACACAGAAACAGACAAACAAGACAUCCAACAUAGAAUGCCCACUCAGAUCACACCCUGACCAAACAAAACAUAGAACAUACAAAGCAAACUAUGGUCAGGGUGUGACAGUAUCCAAGGGGAAAUGCUGCAUACCGCUAUUUAAACUCAACUCGGU
ensembl:lncRNA